rnacentral:rRNA from 1 species
AGCAGCCGCGGUAAUUCCAGCUCCAAUAGCGUAUAUUAAAGUUGUUGCAGUUAAAAAGCUCGUAGUUGAAUUUCGGGGCCAGUAGGUUGGUCGUGCCACUGGUAUGCACUGUCCUCACUGGUCCCUCCUUCUUGUAGAACCGUGAUGGCAUUAAUUUGUUGUUGCGGGGAAACAGGACUGUUACUUUGAAAAAAUUAGAGUGCUUAAAGCAGGCUCGCGCUUGAAUACAUUAGCAUGGAAUAACGAAAUAGGACGAUCGAACCUAUUUUGUUGGUUUCUAGGAUCGACGUAAUGAUUAAUAGGGAUAGUUGGGGGCAUUAGUAUUCAAUUGUCAGAGGUGAAAUUCUUGGAUUUAUUGAAGACUAACUACUGCGAAAGCAUUUGCCAAGGAUGUUUUCAUUAAUCAAGAACGAAAGUUAGGGGAUCGAAGACGAUCAGAUACCGUCGUAG